UCCUCUUUAUUGCUGCUGCGUUGUUUGAAAAUAACUUCUUCAGUCUCUCAGCUCAAUCUCUUUCUGACAUUGUCUCCUCGACUGAUUUCCCUUGACAAUUUCAAUACCAUGUCAAAUUCAUCCUGGGCUAGAAAGAUAUGAACCAGGGAUAUAUUUAAUAUGAAAAGAGACUGUGGGUAUAAAACAUUUCUUUUUGCUAAAAAUCAGAAUUUAGCAAAUGAUGUUUGACAAAAGGGAAGGGAAGAAAAGGCUGCCUUGUGUCCUUUAAACAUAUUCCUCUCCUAGAAGGCACUUGGAUCUAUUUUCUUUACAGCUUCAAGUCUCCUGGGAGACAACUUGACUGCUCUGUGAGUGUGCCCCUCCCUGUGUUCUUCCUUAUAGGAUUUUUGCUUCCCAUCUCCAACACAUCUGGCUUCGUUUCACUGCGGGAACCAGGGCACAGACUCUGGGGGCUUCUGGCAUGGCCACCCCUGCUUGUACCUGCAAAAUGCCAAAUGGACCCGCUUGUCAGGUGAUGGAGCAGGUCUAGAUGCUGCUGUCUCAGGAAAUUAGGGGAUUUGGAAGAUCAGAAGUCAUGCAGUCCUGGAUUGAAAUCUGAGCCUUCCACUAAUGGGCUGUGUGACUUUGGGUAACUUGUGCAACUUCUCUGAGCCUCUGUGUAAAAUUCUUGAUAAUUAUUGACUCCCUCUUCUGGAUCAUAGGCCCCAAAUUCUUGGAUGCUUGUAAGGGUCAGGAGAACAAUCAGCAACAAGAUGUGCAGACUGCUCCUGGACCAGAACCUUCACACGGGGCAGGAGAGAAGCCUAGCUCAGCUAUUCUCUGCCCCAAGGCUGCUUCUGGUUAUGAGGCUGCCUAGUAAAUGGGAUGCGUGUGUGUGGGGGAGGGGUGUGUGGCUAUGCGCCCACCUGUUUAUUACCCACUAUCAGUCUGCUGUGCCCUCAAAUUUCUAGGCAAGUCCCAUUAGACUGACAUUUGUACUCAUGAAUGCAACUUGCUCUGUCCUUGGUUCUCUCUUAUUACGACCUCUAGGUCCUCCCUACGGUCCUUUCUGAGAAGUCCCACAGUGCUGCUGAUCCCAGGUUCAUGGGAUCCACAACCAGCUUUCUGUCUCCAGAACAGAGUGGGGGAUUCAUGUUCUAAACAGUCCCACUUGGGGUCUGCCCUGUUUUUCCUUGGUGGUGACUAUCACCAUGUGCCAUUGUGGAAAUCAUGCCUGAUAUUGACAUUCCAUAGCCCUGGAAGGGGCCAGCUACUAUUAAGAGUGUAUUCAUGUGUUUACCUUCUGAUCUGUGUUUUAGUAAAACCCUAUAGCCUCACUCACAUUUCUAAAUAGUUAAUAUAACCCUACCUCUCUUCAUAUUUCUAAAAUAUGAAGUGACCUUGAACACACUAGUAUCUUUUAUUGUCUAUUUUAUUCCCCCUUAACAUAAUGGUACUUAAGUCCUCUAGGUUUGGGGUGUGUGAGUUUCAAUGAGACACUGCUUGUAAGCCACUUAGCACAAAGCCCGGAACAUACAAAAUGCUGCUGUCGGGGAAAGGAGCCAUGGUGUAGGAGUCAUCAGAGCUGUCAGGGAUAUUGGCUCUGGGGAUGUCCUCAGAGAGGGUUUUGGUUUUUUAGAACAAUGCAAAGGCACUUUCUAGGCACAUAUUUCCAAAUGUCGACUAGAAGAUUUCACUGGUUUGUUUCUUAAUAUGCCUAAUGUUAAAUUCAUAUUAUUCUAAAACCUGAUGCCCCUGGCUUAGAAUUCUUUAGAGCCUUCUAACCCUGAACAUCAGAGUUUGUAAACUGGGGGCUGAGGGCUGCAUCUGGCUCACAGAAAUGGUCCAAGCAAUGUUUUAAAAUGUGGAAUAAUGUCAUCUUUCUAAAAAUCAAUAGAUUCUACAUUUAAAACCCAUGUAUGGGAAUUUUCUUGGGAGAAAAGCAGAUCUGGCCAUAGCAGGUCCCUAUGGCAGCUUCUGGCUGGAGCUAGUUACCCCUUUAGGUGGGGCUGUGAUUUCCAACUUGCCGUAGUGCCUCCCAGUCUGUACGGUCUCCUUGAUAUUGAAGCCAAAGUGCUAGAUGCUGUUUAAUUGCUGCAUGAGUCCAAACACCAAGCUGGGGAGUGGAGAUGAUAGGAUGAUGGGCAAGAGUGCAAAAAGAGCUGGCAAAUUUAAUAAAAGAAUGUAAAAUAAAAGCCUGGUUAGAAAAAGGAAAUUAGGUGGGUUAAUGAGCAGAAUAUAGAAAACUCAAUUCAUGAUGUAAAGGAAAAGCUCGAGACCUAUUUCCUGAAGGCAGAAAAAGACUGCUUAAAAGUAACCAGAGAGAAGAUGGACACUGACAACAGAUAAUCAAUACAGAGAUAUCUGGUAGUUCUGAAAAGAAGAGGGGAAAUGCAGCAGAAUAUCCGAGGACAUCAUCAAAGAAAAGUCACCUAAAUCUACGUAUCGAAAGGACCCUUUACGUUCUAGACCAUGUUAAUAAAAAGAGACCACUGUGUAGACGCAUCCUGGUGAAAUCCUGAAUUUCAAUCAUGGCAAAAGAAUCUCAAAUGUAUCCCGAAAGGAAAAAAUAGGUUUGCAAAGGAGCAGCAAGGCUUGCUUCAGACCAUUCCCAUCAAUAGCGCAGGCCGUGCAAUGAGUGAAUCCGGAGGAAAAGAAUCCCACAGUGUGCCCAGUUGUCAUUGUAUGGGAAGGUAUCCAUAAGGUAUUAUGAGAAAUUCCAGGCCUGAGAGAGUUUACUAAUCCAUGCUUAAGUAACUUUGAGAAAUUGUGGGUUAAAGUUAAACAUAUUUCUUCACUGGAGCAUUACUCAGAAACUUUAAUAUGAUCACAUGUAUUGUGACUUCUAGAAACGGUCGUGGUCAGCAUUUCCCAAACUUAUUUGAUGUUCUAAUCCUUGUUCAAAGCCCACAUCUGUUAAUUCCACCAAAAGAGUAUUUCAUGGAAUAUGUAGUUUAGAACGUGAUGGUUUAGACAGGUGACAAGAUGGCCUUUAAUAAAGUUCAAGAUUCAUUCCUAACAAAAGAUUUUAAUAAAUUUAAAAAAGCAAAAGGGUGCUUUAUUAACAUAAGAAUAAAUCUGUUUCAGACACAGAACCAACUUUAUAAAUAAUGACAAAAGAUUAAUUCUAUAAUAACCAGGAGUAAGGAGGCCUGCUGUUAUUACCUAUUUAAAAUUUCUAGGCAUUCUAGCCAAAACAAGUUAGAAUAAAUAAGAAGUAUACAUAUUGGAACGUAAGAGAUAAAAAGUAUUACUAUUUACAGAUAUUUUGUUCUUCUACCUAGGAAAUCCAAUAUCAGCUCCUAGAAAGCUAUCAAACUGCAGUGAGAUUGCUUUAAAUUAAAUGUACAAAAAUGUCUUCCCUUCAACCUUCACUAACUAGUUAAAAAAACAGACUACAACACCAGUUCCAGUCCUCAUAGUAAAAAACAAAACACAAUACAACAAAACAGUACACAAACUGUGAAUAUACUUAACACAGAAAGUGUAGGACCAGUAUAAAGAAAACGACAAAAUAUCACGAGAGACCAUAAAAUAAGAUUUAAAGACACACAUAGACGUGUUACAUUCCCAGAGGUGAAAUCAUUAUUAAAAGAUGCCUGUUCUCACUAAAUUAAUUUUUAAGCUGAAUAGUUUUGAUUUAGACAAAUCCCAACAAUUUGGAACAGGCAGAGGCCGCGCCCAAUGCAACGUGGCCUCCCGCACUGCGAGACAGACAGGUCCCUGCAGGAGUCACAGGCAGGCACGCAGUCAGAGGUCUGGCAGAAACAGCCCUUUGCUCCAGCUCCUCCUCCACGUCAUCAUGGGUAUGAUGUUUAGGAAUCAUUUUUCUUUCUUGUUUAAAACAUCUUGCUGAUUCCUCCGAGGUAUGCAAUCAAGUUGGGACUCCUUCACAUGGCAUUCAAAGUUACCUUCCUUUGCUUUGUUGGAUCCCAGUACCUACUUGCGAAUUAACACGCUUUAUGACCAGUAUGUGACACAGGGGGUUGGUGAGGCAGAAGCUUCUUUUUUUGUUAACUAAUAGAAAUGCUAAGGUUUAGUACAAUGUCAUGAUUAUUUUGAAAUGUAGCAGUGCCAAGGUAAAGAGUUAGUUUUAACUGCUGCUUCAUUUGAAGAAAAUUCUAAAUGUAAACAAUGAUUUAUUGAAUGCACACUCAACACCAGACACCUGCCCACAUACUUUAAUGUAUCAGCCAUUCUUGGGAGUGUCCACAGUAGGUCAACUAGACAGUAACAAACGUUUGAAAAGACAACCGUAUUGGUUUGCGGACACCCAUACCCUCGAGCUUAUGUAUCCUGUCUUUUCAUCUCAUUAUUGAUUUUCUUGGUCUUUACUUUUUUGUCUUUUUUCUCUUUUUGGCUCAAGGGGCUGACUGCAACCACAUUCAAGGCCUUGAGGGGAAAGCAGAUCAUCAAUUUGCUCUCAAAGGCCUUGACUGAAUACAGGUAGCAGGUAGCAGGAGCCAAGGAUAAGUGAAAAUCGCUUGGGCUUGAGUAAUUUGGAUACUUUGUUUGCUGGCAGUCUGUGCAUUUUUCAUAUCCUACACCUGAUCUCUUUCAGACCUCUUUUCUAUGAGAUCUUUAAAAACUCUGCUGUGCUGGGGUAACUUAUUUUCUGAUUCAAAAUAGAUGAUGGUGAGUAAAUGGACAGGGAGAGACUGAGAUGAAUGGGAUCAUGGCAGUGGGAUUUAUGAAAUCUCUCAUCUGUUCACGGUCAGCAAGCCCUUUAGCUGGUGCCAACUGCUCUACCAAUGCUUGCUUAUUACUUAUUCUUCUCAAUAACUCUGGCUGAGAAAUAGCCUUGUUUCUAUUCUGAAGAAGAAGAACUAUAUGAAGAAUUGGCAAACAUCGAGUGGUGAGGCUGAUGCAGACUCUGAUGUAUCUCCUUAGACUUUGGGGCUCAUGGGUUCUACUGUGAAUUCCAGAUUGGUGCCCUGUGUGAUGGGGCCCUGGGGCAUUAGCAAGGCUUCUUUUUUGAUUUUUUUUUUUUUAACUUUGGAUGAGUGUGUUGUGAAGAUGAUCUUUAUUGAACAAAACUAGCUUUUGGUGCCUGACCAUUAGCCACCAGAUAAAAUCAAUUAAUUAAAGCAAAUAUUUAUUUACCAGAUGUUUAGCACUGGGUGGCUACUCUGAUUACUAUAAAAGCAACAUAACCCAAGGGCUUGAUAAUCAAAUUCAUUCAAUCUAAUUCAGAGCCAGCAACUUCAUUCCCCAGUCAGGUGCUACCAUUCCCCACUGUCCUAGCCCAAGUCAACUUCCCUAAUAAAUCACAGUUUUUUUCCCUAGAUCAGUCAGGUGGCGGCCCCCAAAUCUCAACCCAGCUCUGCAAGGAGAUUCUAUCGUCAGGCAGGUUUGCUGCGCUGGAUCUAAUGAUUAAUAUAGACACUGAACAGAAAAAUCUGAGUGUCCCCUCUGUGCCUAGUGUUGAGCCAGACCCUGGCAGUACAGUGGAGGAAGAGACAGAUGUGGCUCCUGCCUUCAUAGAGCUAACCCCCUCUAGCAGGAAGAAUGGAUAACGAGCAGGUGAUUGCCCAGUUAUAUAUUUAGUCAUGACCGUGUUAAAGACCGUGAAGGAGCAAUAGGGGAUGCCAAACAGUCUAGUCUUCUCAUCUGUUGAAAGGGGCAUAAUAACCAUCCCUACCUCAAAGGUGGCUGUUCAGUGGAGCAAAUGAAGCAAUGUUUUGUACAAUCAGCAGUGCAGUGCCUGCGGCACACCAAGCACACUGCAAUAUAUUCUAUAUCUUUUAUUGAUGACAUGUAAUUGCGUGCCUGGUAGGCUCUGCCUAUUCUCUGAAAGCAACUCAAUGACAUUUAAAAUUUGUUUAAAGUUUGUUGCAAAACGCAUACUAAAUAUUAUGUCAAAUAUCUGUGCACCUAACAUGUCUGUUUCCUAUCUUCCCCUCCACUAGCCUACAAGUCCUCUGAGAGCAGGGCUUCUUUUUCCAUUUGAAAGCCUGGGUGCCUGACAGUGACAUGCUCUUGGAGCUGGACAGAUAAUUUUGAGUGAAAGAGACCUGAGGUUCUCCUUAAUUAGAUUAAGCAUUUCACUUCCAGUGAAUUUGCAAAACAUAUGUAUAUGUAUAUGUAUAUAAUAUAUCUCUAAAAAUAUGCUAUAAUUUUACUUUAAAAGAAUUAUCCAGAGUUCCCAUUGUGGCUCAGGGGGUUAAGGGCCCAACGUAGUCUCCAUGAGGAUGCGAGUUCGAUCCCUGGCCUCACUCAGUGGGUUAAGGAUCCAGCAUUGCCACAAGCUGUGGUGUAGAUUGUAGGUGUUGUUCAGAUCCAGUGUUACUGUGGCUAUGGUGUAGGCCGGCAGCUGCGGCUCUGAUUUGAGCCUCUAGCCCAGGAACUUCUAUAUGCUGCAGGUG
rnacentral:lncRNA from 1 species